AUGUUUGACAACUACGACCUGUGCGGCGCGGCCAACGAGCGCGCCAGCAAGCUGUUCCGCGCGGACACGGACGUGGGCGCCCGCAUGUCGUUCCACACGGCCGACGUCGCGGACCUCGCCGGCGAGCUUGCCAAGUACGACGUCGUCUUCCUGGCGGCGCUCGUGGGCAUGGCCGCCGAGGAAAAGGCCAGGGUGAUCGCGCACCUUGGCACGCACAUGGCAGACGGGGCGGCCCUCGUCGUGCGCAGCGCGCACGGCGCACGCGGGUUCCUAUACCCGAUCGUGGACCCCCAGGACAUCGGCCGAGGCGGGUUUGAGGUGCUGGCCGUGUGCCACCCCGACGACGACGUGGUGAACUCCGUCAUUAUCGCACACAAGUCGAAGGACAUGCAUGCCAGUGGACUUCGCAGCGAGCGUGCCGGUGGUGGGCAGUAUGCGCGUGGCACGGUGCCGGUGGUCAGCCCGCCGUGCAGGUUCGGCAAGAUGGUGGCCGACGUGAACCAGAAGAGAGAGGAGUUUGCCAAGGCCGAAGUGGCUUUUUGA
rnacentral:rRNA from 1 species